GGUGCUCACUAGAUGAUCUAAUCUUUUGUAAUGCAGCUCUGGCCAACAAGCAAUCCAGGAGGAUAUAUGAACUAUCAUCCACACAAUCUGGAUCGACAUAGUUGGAAGAUGAAUCGGUGCCUCGAGAGCUACCUUAAGAUGCAGGAUGUGCACACGGUCAUCUUCUUUCUUUUUUGCCCGACCCCAAGCAUCACUUAAGAGUUUCUUCUGUUACAAGUGUUUGUUUUCCACCAUAAUUAUGUGAGUUGAUUGGUCGGCAUUAUACGAAUUGGUUCAUGGUUUGUCCUCUUUGGAAAACACCAAGCUUGCUCCUAAUUAUACUACUGUAUGCCGUGCCAUGUGUUGAAAUUUCUCGGUACACUAUGGUUUAGGAUACCUUUCUGCUUAUAUUCUGAUGCUUUACCUACAGCCAACUGUUUCUACUCGAAUUCCUUUGUGGUUGAUGAGAUUCUAGAUGACGUGCUUUCUGAUUAGGUUUACUGAGGUGAGUUUGUAUGAAUUUCUUAAUGCAGCUUUUUUUUCAGUCCAAGAAGCAUUAAAAUCUUGCUUCCGUCCCAAGGGAACAUGAUGAAAGGAUGUACGCCAACUAAUCAUAUAGAUCAAUUCAAGGCAUGGCUAAAAGAAGGUUCAGCUUACACCUUAGAAAAUUCAUCGUUGCUGAUGUGCAGAAUAAAUACAGAGUAGCAGAUCAUCCUUACAGAAUCAAAAUUACUCAGUGCUCAAAAGUUCAGGAAAUCAUUCCACAACCUGAUAACCCUCCUCUAUUUUCAUAUAAUGCAACUCAUUUGAGGUCCUGCAGACACGUGCAGUCGACAAUAGUCCUGUCAGGUAUUCACUUCACUGCACAUGUGAUCGAGUGCUUAUAUUAUUUAUUAUUGUUUCUUCUUAUUUUUCUACUCUGUAUUUAUUUCUCCUCUGUUAGGUAUUCACUUCAGUGCACAUGCUAGAUUAAAUUACACACUACCGUUGCGGUACACUGAUCUUACUCUGUUUUUCCCCCAGCAAGCAGUAAGAUAUCAUCUGCAUCAUCAGACUAACCUGUUCCAACUACUCGAGACAGAGAUGAAGCACUGUCGAUGUUGUUUUUCGUUGUUAUUUUCUUUCAGCUUUCUACUAGAAGCAUUAAAUUCCCUGCUCAUUCUUCCGUUGGAGUUCCUCACAGCAAUAGGCUUAGAAUAGCAGAUACUGAAGUGCACAUACUGCUGGUCAUCCUCGCUGAGCUCUGUUAAAAUUCAUUUCUUAGAGUUUAGUGUUUGCUGAACAUAUGCAGUGCUUGGUGAGGUGUAGGUGUGUUGGUUCGCAUGUGUUCUUUUCUUUUCUCCUCUUGCAUAUUCUGCAUAUGUAUCAUGGUUUUUUGUUGCUCUGUUUUCUAGGAUCAAUUCUUUACGCAAGACGAAGAAGUUUCCACUUACUCCUUUAAUGUGUGCAGCUGUUCUUUUAGUUUUUUAGUUUUUAUUUUUUUUCGUGCAACUGUUACUUAUUAAGUUUCUCCUGCCGCUAAAUUUGAAAUGACUGGUUCCGAAGUGCAAGCACUAUCCGUGGUUUCAGCUGAAGUAUAUUGUAACUACAUGUUUUAUGUUUGUAAAUGUUGAAGUGUUGAAAUUCAUUAUUCCAGUUUGGGCA